CUGAGGCCUGGGUUAAGGACAGUAUAGAGAUUGGGAGGGGAAUUUCAGUUUAAGAAAGAAUCACUUUAAGGAGAAAGGCUUGGGAAAACACAGUGCCUUGCAAGUAAUGAAUUGAGAAUGGAGAGAAGGAGAGUAUUCCACGUGGAGGAAAGAGGAUUAAAAAGUGUUACACAUAUAAAUAUCUUUGUAUGAAUUGUGCAAGUAUAUCCAAAGAGCAAAUUCUUCUCCAUGGAAUUGCAGUCCGUUUGAGCUUUGUCACCACUGGAAGGCCUUUCUUGCUCAUUGCAGGUGAUCCACCGUUCCUGGUCUCAGUCCACACUGUCUACCAGCAGUUCCUCCCUCCUGCCUUCAUAACAAUUAAUUUGGAAAUCUUCUUGGUGUUAUCUA